GCCUGGGUGGCUUAGUCAGCCGAGUGUCUGACUUCAGCUCAGGUCCUGAUCUCACGGUUUGUGAGUUCGAGCCCCACAUCAGGCU
rnacentral:tRNA from 1 species